rnacentral:lncRNA from 1 species
GUUUUUGGAACAAUAGGACUGUAGAAUCUUUCAUCAUUUAACUUGGUGGAGGCAGGGCUGGAGGGGGAAUAUAAAUCAGCAAGCCUUUGAGUUAGGGGCCAGGAAAUACAGCUUUAGAUCCAUUUUUAAUGAUUCAUUUCCUUUUUGGUCAUAUAACUGCACAACGGGAGAUGAAAGGGGAAAAUAGAAAAUUUGACUUUUAGGUGCCAAUAGUACAUUGCACUACACUGAUCGAAGAAGUUAUCCAAAGUACUGUAUAACAUCUUGUUUAUUAUUUAAUGUUUUCUAAAAGUGAAAAAUGUUAGUGGUUUUCCAAACAGCCAAAUAAAAAUAAUUCUUUGUAAAUAAAAACACUGUUAAUAAU